rnacentral:rRNA from 1 species
GAUGAACGCUGGCGGCGUGCCUAAUACAUGCAAGUCGAGCGAACGGACGAGAAGCUUGCUUUUCUGAUGUUAGCGGCGGACGGGUGAGUAACACGUGGAUAACCUACCUAUAAGACUGGGAUAACUUCGGGAAACCGGAGCUAAUACCGGAUAAAAUUUUGAACCGCAUGGUUCAAAAGUGAAAGACGGUCUUGCUGUCACUUAUAGAUGGAUCCGCGCCGCAUUAGCUAGUUGGUAAGGUAACGGCUUACCAAGGCAACGAUGCAUAGCCGACCUGAGAGGGUGAUCGGCCACACUGGAACUGAGACACGGUCCAGACUCCUACGGGAGGCAGCAGUAGGGAAUCUUCCGCAAUGGGCGAAAGCCUGACGGAGCAACGCCGCGUGAGUGAUGAAGGUCUUCGGAUCGUAAAACUCUGUUAUUAGGGAAGAACAUAUGUGUAAGUAACUGUGCACAUCUUGACGGUACCUAAUCAGAAAGCCACGGCUAACUACGUG